rnacentral:misc_RNA from 1 species
GAUGAAGAACGUAGCGAAAUGCGAUACGUAAUGUGAAUUGCAGAAUUCAGUGAAUCAUCGAGUCUUUGAACGCACAUUGCGCCCUCUGGUAUUCCGGAGGGCAUGCCUGUCCGAGCGUCAUUGCUGCCCUCAAGCACGGCUUGUGUGUUGGGCCCCGCCCCCCGAUCCCGGGGGGCGGGCCCGAAAGGCAGCGGCGGCACCGCGUCCGGUCCUCGAGCGUAUGGGGCUUUGUCACCCGCUCUGUAGGCCCGGCCGGCGCCUGCCGAUCAACCAAACUUUUUUCCAGGUUGACCUCGGAUCAGGUAGGGAUACCCGCUGAACUUAAGCAUAUCAAUAAGCGGAG